AUAUAUAGAUAUAUAUAGAUAUAUAUAGAUAUAUAUAGAUAUAUAUAGAUAUAUAUAGAUAUAUAUAGAUAUAUAUAGAUAUAUAUAGAUAUAGAUAUAUAGAUAUAUAGAUAUAUAGAUAUAUAGAUAUAUAUUUUGGAAUGUGAACUUCAACUAUAUACAUUAAAAAAAAUUUAAAAAUUCAGUUCAUUUACUCGAGUUUCACGCCUAUAUUGGCGAUCAUCAGACUGCCUGUCCGUAUUAAAACGUCCUUAUUUAUACCUAUUUUAAACUAUAUAAAAUUAGCAUAAACCUUUACAUAAUUACAAUUUAAAUUAUUUACGUUACAUUACUAGCAUAAAACUUGUUUUCAUGCCGACAUUUUGAUGUUAUUUCUGAUCGUUUGUUUAGAAGAGUUCCCUUGUGAGCGUUUAGAAUUGCCAUUUUUUCUGCCAGGCACAGUUUACAAACUCUUGUUCCGCUUGCAGGCAUAUAUGGUUUAGCCUGCUUCAAAAUUGACCAUUUCAUUUCAUAAUCCCUUUUCGUUUUCUUCAGGUCCCAAAUGAAUUUCGAUAGCGCUGUUUUGUUUGCAUAGUCUUUGUUUUAAAAUGAUAGGGUAUAUGGUUGUAAAACCUCGUUUUGAAUUCCGAUUCCGCCAUGCCGACGUAGACGUAUACCUUAGGGUCGUCGUCUUUUCCUGGUUCAAACUUCAAAGACUUUCGCUUGGUAUAUUGUAGCUGCAUGUUGUUAAACAUUGCUUAUCUAAUGGGCAGUUAUUCUCGUUUCUACAAUUGCAUCCGGCGCUGCUUGCUUUCUCCUUGUUUAAAACUUUUUUGUUAUGUCCUUUAAUUAUGCUAGCGAUGUUAUUCAUGCAACUAUAGCUUAUCUUUAUUGUAUUUCGGUUAAAGAUCUUUCUUAAAAUGUUGCCAGGUGGGAAAUGCUUGUCAACAAGUUCCAAAACUGCUCUGCCAACAUUUGUUAGCACAUUUGUUGAGUAUGGUGGAGUAAACCAAAUAACGUUCCGCGCUCUAUUUCUGCGUGGAGGAUUAAACCAAAUAACGUUCCGCGCUCUAUUUCUGCUCUAUUAAUUCGCUCCACAAUUUCUGUGUUGAGCACUCUAGCUAAGUGGGCUAUCCAACUUGUAUGUAUAUAGAUAUAUAGAUAGUUAUAUAUAGCUAAUUCAAGAAAGAGUAGAAACUUUAAGGUUGUCCUUCGAAAUCUCAAACCUUAACUCUAAGCCCGCAAAGAGUGAUGGGUUACUUCUUUUUAGGGCUUUUGAUUAGGAAAAUAAUCCUAGUAUAUACACUGCUAGUUGUACAUCUUAAGAGCUUAUUAGGCUAUCUGUCUUGCUAUAGCUACAAUGCAAAAUUCGCACGUUUUAGGCUUUAAAUAAGAAGUUACCCAUUACACCUUGCGCGCUUAGAGUUUAAGGUUUGGAAUUUUUGAAAGACAACCUUUUUUGAAACAGCUGUAUAUAUACACGUCUGUAUGAUUAACUGCAUGUGCAUGGUCUUUUAGUUUGAAUGUUCUUGCUUGUUCAUGAUGAGCGGUUGACAAAUGACACGAAUGUUGGGAAUUUCUUGAUAAUUCCAGUUUAUAAGCUACUAAUGAAUAACCUCAGUACAGAC
rnacentral:lncRNA from 1 species